rnacentral:tRNA from 1 species
GCAGGGAUAGCGAAGUGGUCAAACGCGCGAGACUCAAAAUCUCGUCUCUUAGUGAGUUCGGAGGUCCGAAUCCUCCUCCCUGCA